rnacentral:rRNA from 1 species
CAUGGAGGGUGAGAAUCCCGUUCGGUUGACCUUAUGACGCUCUACGAUACGCUCUCUAAGAGUCGAGUUGUUUGGGAUUGCAGCUCAAAAUGGGAGGUAAAUUUCUCCUAAGGCUAAAUAUCGGCGAGAGACCGAUAGCGAACAAGUACCGUGAGGGAAAGAUGAAAAGAACUUUGAAAAGAGAGUAAAAUAGUACGUGAAAUUGUUGAAAGGGAAACGAUUGAAGUCAGUCGUGCCGACGAGAAAUCAACUUAUCGUGUGCGAACUUGUGGGCGUGCGUGAGUUUCGGCCUCGCUGUUUGCAUGUUUGUGCGCUUUGGGUGUACUUUUUCGUAUGGUAGGCCAACGUCAGUUUCGAUUAUCAUAAAAUGACCGGCGGAAUGUAGCUUCGAUUUCGGUUGAAGUGUUAUAGCCUCUGGUAGAUGUGGUGAUUGAGACUGAGGAUUGCAACGAAUACCCUUUGGGCUAUCCGUCUGGCCUCUGAAAGUUGCUCAGGCGCCGAAAGCGUGCUUACGGUCAUCUAAGAUAACGUUCAACAGGUUAGAACGUGAUUACAUUCGUUAAGGAUGUUGACGUAAUGG